rnacentral:misc_RNA from 1 species
GAUGAAGAACGUAGCGAAAUGCGAUAAGUAGUGUGAAUUGCAGAAUUCAGUGAAUCAUCGAAUCUUUGAACGCACAUUGCGCCCUUUGGUAUUCCAAAGGGCAAGCCUGUUCGAGCGUCAUUUGUACCCUCAAGCUUUGCUUGGUGUUGGGCGUCUUGUCUCUAGCUUUGCUGGAGACUCGCCUUAAAGUAAUUGGCAGCCGGCCUACUGGUUUCGGAGCGCAGCACAAGUCGCACUCUCUAUCAGCAAAGGUCUAGCAUCCACUAAGCCUUUUUUUCAACUUUUGACCUCGGAUCAGGUAGGGAUACCCGCUGAACUUAAGCAUAUCAAUAAGCGGAGGA